AGCGAACGCUGGCGGCAGGCCUAAUACAUGCAAGUCGAGCGCACCUUCGGGUGAGCGGCGGACGGGUGAGUAACGCGUGGGAACGUGCCCUUUGGUACGGGAUAACUGAGGGAAACUUCAGCUAAUACCGUAUGUGCCCUACGGGGGAAAGAUUUAUCGCCACUGGAGCGGCCCGCGUUGGAUUAGGUAGUUGGUGAGGUAAAGGCUCACCAAGCCUACGAUCCAUAGCUGGUCUGAGAGGAUGAUCAGCCACACUGGGACUGAGACACGGCCCAGACUCCUACGGGAGGCAGCAGUAGGGAAUCUUGCGCAAUGGGCGAAAGCCUGACGCAGCCAUGCCGCGUGAAUGAUGAAGGUCUUAGGAUUGUAAAAUUCUUUCACCGGGGAAGAUAAUGACGGUACCCGGAGAAGAAGCCAUGGCUAACUACGUGCCAGCCGCCGCGGUAACAC
rnacentral:rRNA from 1 species